rnacentral:rRNA from 1 species
AUAUUGGCGAGAGACCGAUAGCGAACAAGUACCGUGAGGGAAAGAUGAAAAGCACUUUGGAAAGAGAGUUAAACAGCACGUGAAAUUGUUAAAAGGGAAACGAUUGAAGUCAGUCGUGUGAAAGGUAUUCAGCCGUCUCUGGCGGUGUAUUUGCCUUUCACGGGUCAACAUCAGUUUGAUCCGGUAGAAAAAGGCAGGAGGAAGGUGGCACCCUCGGGUGUGUUAUAGCCUCUUGUCAUAUGUGCCGGACCAGACUGAGGAACGCAGCUUGCCGCAAGGCCGGGGUUCGCCCACGUACAAGCUUAGGAUGUUGACAUAAUGGCUUUAAACGACCCGUCUUGAAACACGGACC